GUGGGGAAUCUUGCGCAAUGGGCGAAAGCCUGACGCAGCCAUGCCGCGUGAAUGAUGAAGGUCUUAGGAUUGUAAAAUUCUUUCACCGGGGACGAUAAUGACGGUACCCGGAGAAGAAGCCCCGGCUAACUUCGUGCCAGCAGCCGCGGUAAUACGAAGGGGGCUAGCGUUGCUCGGAAUUACUGGGCGUAAAGGGAGCGUAGGCGGAUAGUUCAGUCAGAGGUGAAAGCCCAGGGCUCAACCUUGGAAUUGCCUUUGAUACUGGCUGUCUUGAGUAUGGGAGAGGUUAGCGGAACUCCGAGUGUAGAGGUGAAAUUCGUAGAUAUUCGGAAGAACACCAGUGGCGAAGGCGGCUAACUGGCCCAUUACUGACGCUGAGGUGCGAAAGCGUGGGGAGCAAACAGGAUUAGAUACCCGUGUAGUCC
rnacentral:rRNA from 1 species